rnacentral:rRNA from 1 species
UCGCCUGUUUAUCAAAAACAUUGUUUUUAGAAACCAUAUUAAAAAUACAUCCUGCCCGGUGAAUUCUUUAACGGCCGCGAUUACACGUGCAAAGGUAGCAUAAUCAAUUGUCCUUUAAUUGUGGACUAGAAUGAAUGGAUAAAUAAAAAUUAAUCUAUAAAAGCUUUAGCAAUAAAAAUUUACCUUUAGAUGAAAAGGUCUAAAUAUAAAUAAAAGACCAGAAGACCCUACAGAGCUUUUUCUUAAACCAAUAAAUUAUUGAUCAUAAGAUUUGGUUGGGGCAACCAAGGAAUAUCUAUCCUUAAAUUAAACCGAUAAAUAAAUUAAUCCUAUAUUAAUCAUAUUUAAGCUACCUUAGGGAUAACAGGCUAAUCUUAUUUUAUAGUCCACAUACACAAUAAGGUUUGGCACCUCGAUGUUGGCUUGAGAUCACUUUAAAAUGCAGACGUUUUAAAUAGUAGGCUUGUUCAGCCUUGAAAAUCUCACGUGAUCUGAGUUCAGACCGGAC